CAAGCGGUUCGGACGCGAAAGGCCUUUCUGAUUGGCCGCCUCCAGGGGCCAGUGUCCCGAAGCGGCUGGCGGGCUGGGGGUCCGGAGCGCAUAAGUACGUCCCGCUGGGGAGGGCGGUCCCAGACGUAGCGAGCUGCCGCUGCCGGGAGCCGCGGGGGGUAAGUGCUCCAGCCUUCGGGAACCGACGGGCUCCCCAGGGGCGCCCGGCCCACAGCCCCCGCCUGCCUGUGCCUCCUUUUACCCAGUUUCAUCAGAUAUUUGCGGGCAGGGGACCCCAGGGGAGGAGAAUUGCAGCGAUGGGGCAGGGAGGAAGGGCAGGCUGGGCUCCCGUGGGGAAUGCCAGGUCCUUCUGCCCCGUCCUCAGAAUGGCCCUGCCCUCUUGUCGAAGGUCCCAGUGCUGCCGGCCUGUCCCCUGUGCCUCGCCCCAUGCACCUCUGCCUCGGCCACAGCAGGUUCCCGCAGCAGCUCCCGCGAUCCGGCCAAGCCCACCUGCGGCCCCGGCAGCCCUUGCGCUCCUGCCUGGCACGACCUCCUAACCCCCAGGGCCCCAAGAAGCAGGUGGUGUUUGCAGACACCAAGGGGCUGUCGCUGACAUCCGUGCACAUGUUUGAGGACGCUGUGGGCGGAGACUCCGAGGAGGGCUCGUGUCACCCGUCCAACUGGCCGCGCCUCGCACCACCGCCAUCCCCCUGCGCCUCUGGCCUCUCCGCACCUGGGCGGGACUCGCGGUUUCCGGGGACGCCAGCAGAUCCGGAGAGGGUGCCCGGAGCUGAGCGCGCGGCAAGAGGGCUCCCUGCGAGGCACCCUGCGGGCGCGCGCUCUGACUUUCCAGAAGGCCAUGCAGGUGCGCACCGCCUUUGAUGCCCGCGCCUGGUUCCAAGAAGCGCAGCGUUCACACCACGCGUCCUUGCAGAGACGAGACUGAGAGCUUCGGCUUACGGGUGGCGAGGCCACCUAGAGUCCCGCGCCCUGGGGACGCCAUCCGGCUCUGCUCCUCUUUAGGGUGUGUUCAGCAGCUUUGCGUGGUGCGCAGCUCACAGUCCCGCUCGUCAGACUGAAACUGAACUGUCCUGAGGGCCCACCCGCUGCGCCUGUGCAAGGACUUUUUCUGCCCAGGCAGAGCUUGAUUUUCUUGCCCAGGUGGUGCGUGUUUCCUCUCUCUCCAGGAGCCUCACCCAGACUGUUACUACCCGCGAAUUCACACAGGGGGAGGGGGGGGAUCGGCAUGGAGGCAACUGCAGCCGCGCCCCUCUUCUCGGGACCCUACCCUUGAAUGCCUCUCGUUCUUCUUUCUAGGGGGACAGGCUCACUUCCUGAGCGAAUGAAUGAGAUUUCCUUCCGGAAGAUGCUCGGAAGGGCACCCUUUACCCUUCGCAGGGAAGGAAGCCUUGGGAAUGUGGAACAGAAGGACCGUAAAUAAAGUUUCUACAUGUAAUUCUGUAAAAGGCCUGGCAGAGAGGGUCAGGAGGAGUUCCUGAUGUCGAAGAUAAAGAUGCAGCACAGAUACGUGCUCUUUUACCUUCCUCCCUAUCCUGAAAGGGCUAAUUUUCUGGUAACUCAAAAUCGUCUUCCCUCUUCAAUGUGUGCCAAUAAAUAAAUCACAAAUAAAUAAAUUUGUUAAAGCAUC